UAACCGCGAGCAGACCAGUCGGUCUCGUUUGACAUGUCGGAGAGUGAAGACGCUGCCUUGCAUGUGAAGCCAAAUCGUUCUUCGCCUUCAGGAUUCUUGCCGUUUCAGGGAUCUGCACAACGACAGGGAGAUAGAACGCCAAGUGAAGUCUACUGUAUGCUUUGUGCAGACGGUUCAGCGUGUAUGACGCAGCGGCCUCCAGCAAGAGAAACUCAAGCACCGUGUUCAAAUGCGGUGGGGACUCUUGCUCGACAUAACAACGCUUAUAAGUGCUUUUUCGGAAGAAGGACAAGUUGGACCGGAAAUGAGGACCUAGGUGUGCUCUUUUGCGUUGUUCUUCACCGUUCGAUCAUUACCAAUUUUUGUGCCCCCGUGAGUUCAACGCUCAGGUAUGUUGAUGAUAAAUGGAUAUGCGUUAAAAGGUACGUACUCCGGAGUGGUGAAUUGUUGUGGUGAAGUGAUUUGUUGCUGCUAUCUCCUGUUUCGUGAGGGUUCUUGUCGGUACUCAUAUACCGCAGGCAUGAGGGGCUUUCUUUGCAGAACAUUUCAGUGAACCAAGACUGCAGCAUUUUCAAGAUUGCCAUAACCAGCAUCAAUGCAGCUCUCAUGUCAACAUCAGCAUCAAGACAGCUCUGAUAGACCACCUCGUACUGUGUACGUUUCCCCCCCCCCCCUUUUGAGACACCAUUGAAGGGCCAGUGGUUACGCAGGCAGGCUGGAUAUUACGACACAAUUGGCAUGCAUUGGGUGAUGCAGGCAGACUGCUUAGUGUGCACCACUCGUCGUUUAGUCUAUUGAGGUGCUACAAGUGUUGUGUCAGUCUAUUCCCUCUCCGAAAAUAAAAUGUUGGGCUCUACA